GAACGCUGGCGGCGUGCUUAACACAUGCAAGUCGAACGAUGAUGCCAGCUUGCUGGUGGAUUAGUGGCGAACGGGUGAGUAACACGUGAGCAACCUGCCCCUGACUUCGGGAUAACCGCGGGAAACCGUGGCUAAUACCGGAUAUGACGCGCUAUCGCAUGGUGGUGUGUGGAAAGAUUUAUCGGUUGGGGAUGGGCUCGCGGCCUAUCAGCUUGUUGGUGGGGUGAUGGCCUACCAAGGCGACGACGGGUAGCCGGCCUGAGAGGGUGACCGGCCACACUGGGACGGAGACACGGCCCAGACUCCUACGGGAGGCAGCAGUGGGGAAUAUUGCACAAUGGGCGCAAGCCUGAUGCAGCGACGCCGCGUGAGGGAGGACGGCCUUCGGGUUGUAAACCUCUUUCAGUAGGGAAGAAGGCCUUCGGGUUGACGGUACCUGCAGAAGAAGCGCCGGCUAACUACGUG
rnacentral:rRNA from 1 species